GUCCUUCCCUAGCAAUUACUGGGACAAGUUCGUCAAGAGAAAGGUGUUGGAGAAAUACGGGGACAUUUAUGGGCGCGAGCGCAUCGCCGAGCUGCUGGGGAUGGAGCUCUCCAGCCUGGAAAUCGGGGCGCGGGGGGAGAGGAAACCCCCCCCCGACAACUCCGUGCUCACCUGGAUCACCUCCAUCGAUAUCCGCUAUCAGAUCUGGAAGUUUGGGGUCAUCUUCACCGAUAACGUGAGUGGGGGGCGGCUGUGGGACCCCAAAUCCCUGCUGACCCCACAUCUCUACUGUCCCUGUUGACCCCGCUGUCCCCAUUGAUCCCACUGACCCCGUUGACCCCGCUGUCCCCACAUCUCCUCUGUCCCCAUUGACCCCCCUGACCUCACAUUCCCAUCAUCUUCAUGGGUGAUGGGGUGACCCACAGCGCUGGAGAUGUGGGGCAAGGAGUGACCCCAAAUCCCUGCUGACCCCACUGACCCCGCAUCUCCACUGACCCCAUUGACCCCACAUCUCCACUGGCCCCAUUGACCCCACUGACCCCACAUCUCCGCUGUCCCCAUUGACCCUAU